rnacentral:tRNA from 1 species
GCCCGGCUGGCUCAGUCUGUAGAGUAUGAGACUCUUAAUCUCAGGGUCGUAGGUUCGAGCCCCACGUUGGUCGCU